rnacentral:rRNA from 1 species
AGUGAACGCUGGCGGUAGGCCUAACACAUGCAAGUCGAACGGCAGCACAGGAGAGCUUGCUCUCUAGGUGGCGAGUGGCGGACGGGUGAGGAAUACAUCGGAAUCUGCCCAGUCGUGGGGGAUAACGUAGGGAAACUUACGCUAAUACCGCAUACGACCUUCGGGUGAAAGAGGGGGAUCGCAAGACCUCUCGCGAUUGGAUGAGCCGAUGUCGGAUUAGCUAGUUAGCGGGGUAAUGGCCCGCCAAGGCGACGAUCCGUAGCUGGUCUGAGAGGAUGAUCAGCCACACUGGAACUGAGACACGGUCCAGACUCCUACGGGAGGCAGCAGUGGGGAAUAUUGGACAAUGGGCGCAAGCCUGAUCCAGCCAUACCGCGUGGGUGAAGAAGGCCUUCGGGUUGUAAAGCCCUUUUGUUGGGAAAGAAAUCUUUCAGGCUAAUACCCUGGGAGGAUGACGGUACCCAAAGAAUAAGCACCGGCUAACUUCGUG